ensembl:snRNA predicted gene, 23830
GUGCUGGCCUCGGCAGCACACAGACUGAAACUGUAGCUGCACAGAGAUUAGCAUGGCCCAGUACAAGGAUGAUGCAGAAUUCAUGAAGCAGGCCAGAUCUUU